rnacentral:rRNA from 1 species
UACGUAGGGUGCAAGCGUUAAUCGGAAUUACUGGGCGUAAAGCGUGCGCAGGCGGUUCGCUAAGACCGAUGUGAAAUCCCCGGGCUUAACCUGGGAACUGCAUUGGUGACUGGCGGGCUAGAGUAUGGCAGAGGGGGGUAGAAUUCCACGUGUAGCAGUGAAAUGCGUAGAGAUGUGGAGGAACACCGAUGGCGAAGGCAGCCCCCUGGGCCAAUACUGACGCUCAUGCACGAAAGCGUGGGGAGCAAACAGG